rnacentral:rRNA from 1 species
GAAGAAAGAGGGAGGCGUGCUUAACACAUGCAAGUCGAACGGUGAAGCGCCUUCCUUUUUGGUGGGUGUGGAUGAGUGGCGAACGGGUGAGUAACACGUGAGUAACCUGCCCCCUUCUUCUGGAUAACCGCAUGAAAGUGUGGCUAAUACGGGAUAUUCUGGGUCUGUCGCAUGAUGGGUCUGGGAAAGAUAUUGUUUCGGUGGGGGAUGGGCUCGCGGCCUAUCAGCUUGUUGGUGGGGUGAUGGCCUACCAAGGCGGUGACGGGUAGCCGGCCUGAGAGGGUGGACGGUCACACUGGGACUGAGACACGGCCCAGACUCCUACGGGAGGCAGCAGUGGGGAAUAGUGCACAAUGGGCGCAAGCCUGAUGCAGCGACGCCGCGUGAGGGAUGGAGGCCUGCGGGUUGUGAACCUCUUUCGCCAGUGAAGCAGGCCUGCCUCGUUUGUGGGUGGGUUGACGGUAGCUGGAUAAGAAGCGCCGGCUAACUACGUG